AUUGAACGCUGGCGGCAGGCCUAACACAUGCAAGUCGAGCGGAUGAAGAGAGCUUGCUCUCUGAUUCAGCGGCGGACGGGUGAGUAAUGCCUAGGAAUCUGCCUGGUAGUGGGGGACAACGUUUCGAAAGGAACGCUAAUACCGCAUACGUCCUACGGGAGAAAGCAGGGGACCUUCGGGCCUUGCGCUAUCAGAUGAGCCUAGGUCGGAUUAGCUAGUAGGUGAGGUAAAGGCUCACCUAGGCGACGAUCCAUAACUGGUCUGAGAGGAUGAUCAGUUACACUGGAACUGAGACACGGUCCAGACUCCUACGGGAGGCAGCAGUGGGGAAUAUUGGACAAUGGGCGAAAGCCUGAUCCAGCCAUGCCGCGUGUGUGAAGAAGGUCUUCGGAUUGUAAAGCACUUUAAGUUGGGAGGAAGGGCAGUAAGUUAAUACCUUGCUGUUUUGACGUUACCAACAGAAUAAGCACCGGCUAACUUCGUGCCAGCAGCCGCGGUAAUAC
rnacentral:rRNA from 1 species